UACGUAGGGUGCGAGCGUUGUCCGGAAUUAUUGGGCGUAAAGAGCUUGUAGGCGGUUUGUCGCGUCUGCUGUGAAAAUCCGGGGCUCAACCCCGGACUUGCAGUGGGUACGGGCAGACUAGAGUGUGGUAGGGGAGACUGGAAUUCCUGGUGUAGCGGUGGAAUGCGCAGAUAUCAGGAGGAACACCGAUGGCGAAGGCAGUUCUCUGGGCCGUAACUGACGCUGAGGAGCGAAAGCGUGGGGAGCGAACAGG
rnacentral:rRNA from 1 species